rnacentral:rRNA from 1 species
GGUGAACGCUGGCGGCGUGCUUGACACAUGCAAGUCGAACGGUAUGUGGCAACACAUAGAGUGGCGAACGGGUGAGUAACACGUGGGAACGUACCAUCUGCAGGGGGAUAACUGACCGAAAGGACAGCUAAUACCGCAUAAGUCCGGAAGGAGAAAGGUGCAAUAGCAUCGGCAGAAGAGCGGCCCGCGGUCCAUCAGCUAGUUGGUGAGGUAAGGGCUUACCAAGGCGACGACGGAUAGCCGGCGUGAGAGCGUGGCCGGCCACAAGGACACUGAGAUACGGGUCCUACUCCUACGGGAGGCAGCAGUGCGGAAUUUUAGAUAAUGGAGGGAACUCUGAUCUAGCGACGCCGCGUGCAGGAAGAAGGUCUUCGGAUUGUAAACUGCUGUGGUAAGGGAAAAUGCUAUGUAGAGUGGAAAGCUACAUAGAGGGAUGGUACCUAACUAGAAAGCCCCGGACUAACCUACGUUAGCCAGGCACGCCGCGGUAAGACGU